CCGAUGGAGGGGGAUAACUACUGGAAACGGUAGCUAAUACCGCAUAACGUCGCAAGACCAAAGAGGGGGACCUUGGGCCUCUUGCCAUCGGAUGUGCCCAGAUGGGAUUAGCUAGUAGGUGGGGUAACGGCUCACCUAGGCGACGAUCCCUAGCUGGUCUGAGAGGAUGACCAGCCACACUGGGACUGAGACACGGCCCAG
rnacentral:rRNA from 1 species